GACGUAGGGAGCGAGCGUUGUCCGGAUUCAUUGGGCGUAAAGCGCGCGUAGGCGGCCUCGCAAGUCGGUUGUGAAAUCCCGGGGCUCAACCCCGGGACUGCGUCCGAUACUGCGAGGCUGGAGGUAGGUAGGGGAGAUCGGAAUUCCUGGUGUAGCGGUGAAAUGCGCAGAUAUCAGGAGGAACACCGGUGGCGAAGGCGGGUCUCUGGGCAACAACUGACGCUGAGGAGCGAAAGCGUGGGGAGCGAACAGG
rnacentral:rRNA from 1 species